rnacentral:rRNA from 1 species
CCCUUCGGGGUGUGACUGCGUACCUUUUGUAUAAUGGGUCAGCGACUUAUAUUCUGUAGCAAGGUUAACCGAAUAGGGGAGCCGGAGGGAAACCGAGUCUUAAUUGGGCGUUAAGUUGCAGGGUAUAGACCCGAAACCCGGUGAUCUAGCCAUGGGCAGGUUGAAGGUUGGGUAACACUAACUGGAGGACCGAACCGACUAAUGUUGAAAAAUUAGCGGAUGACCUGUGGCUGGGGGUGAAAGGCCAAUCAAACCGGGAGAUAGCUGGUUCUCCCCGAAAGCUAUUUAGGUAGCGCCUCGUGAAUUCAUCUCCGGGGGUAGAGCACUGUUUCGGCUAGGGGGCCAUCCCGGCUUACCAACCCGAUGCAAACUGCGAAUACCGGAGAAUGUUAUCACGGGAGACACACGGCGGGUGCUAACGUCCGUCGUGAAGAGGGAAACAACCCAGACCGCCAGCUAAGGUCCCAAAGUCAUGGUUAAGUGGGAAACGAUGUGGGAAGGCCCAGACAGCCAGGAUGUUGGCUUAGAAGCAGCCAUCAUUUAAAGAAAGCGUAAUAGCUCACUGGUCGAGUCGGCCUGCGCGGAAGAUGUAACGGGGCUAAACCAUGCACCGAAGCUGCGGCAGCGAACGUAUCACCCAAGACAA